AUUGAACGCUAACGGCGUGCUUAACACAUGCAAGUCGAGCGGCAGCACAGUAGUAGCAAUACUAUGGGUGGCGAGCGGCGGACGGGUGAGUAAUGCAUAGGAAUCUGCCUUGUAGUGGGGGAUAACUCGGGGAAACUCGGGCUAAUACCGCAUAAUCUCUACUGAGCAAAGUGGGGGACCGUAAGGCCUCACGCUAAAAGAUGAGCCUAUGUUGGAUUAGCUAGUUGGGAGGGUAAAAGCCUACCAAGGCAACGAUCCAUAGCUGGUCUGAGAGGCUGAUCCACCACAGUGGGACUGAGACACGGCCCGGACUCCUACGGGAGGCAGCAGUGGGGAAUAUUGGACAAUGGGGGGAACCCUGAUCCAGCCAUGCCGCGUGUGUGAAGAAGGCCUUAUGGUUGUAAAGCACUUUAAGCGAGGAGGAGGCUCUUUUGGUUAAUACCCAAGAUGAGUGGACGUUACUCGCAGAAUAAGCACCGGCUAACUCUGUGCCAGCCGCCGCCGUAA
rnacentral:rRNA from 1 species